GAUGAACGCUGGCGGCGUGCUUAACACAUGCAAGUCGAACGAUGAAGCCCAGCUUGCUGGGUGGAUUAGUGGCGAACGGGUGAGUAACACGUGAGUAACCUGCCCUUGACUCUGGGAUAAGCCUGGGAAACUGGGUCUAAUACUGGAUAUGACUUCUCAUCGCAUGGUGGGGGGUGGAAAGAUUUAUUGGUCUUGGAUGGACUCGCGGCCUAUCAGCUUGUUGGUGAGGUAAUGGCUCACCAAGGCGACGACGGGUAGCCGGCCUGAGAGGGUGACCGGCCACACUGGGACUGAGACACGGCCCAGACUCCUACGGGCGGCAGCAGUCGGGAAUUUUGCACAAUGGGCGCAAGCCUGAUGAAGCGACGCCGCGUGAGGGAUGACGGCCUUCGGGUUGUAAACCUCUUUCAGUAGGGAAGAAGCGAGAGUGACGUUACCUGCAGAAGAAGCGCCGGCUAACUACGUG
rnacentral:rRNA from 1 species